GGUCAAUGAUGAGAUGUAAAAGGUCUGAUUGCCCAAGUCCCUUCCCAUUGUCCCCUUCGGCUCCCAGCAGCCCCUGCUCUACUACCAGCAUGCUCUAGUUGUGCGUCGUUGGCCACAGGGGCUGCUGACAGAGAGGAUGACCUCACAUCCUGUGUCUGUAAGAGACCAAGGCGUCACAGUGAUGAUGGACAUCCAACAUGACCAAUCACUAAGGAGUUUUGGGGGUGUGGGAUUGGGAUAGGUAGAUGAUCUCAAGUUUUCAAGCUGAGACC